AAACACACACACAUAGAGAUGGGAGGGCUAGACAGAUGGGGUGGUGUGAUAUAGGAGUCAUAAAAGCAGGUGUCAGAGAAUAUCUACCGGGUCUUUUGAAAGAAGAAAGUCCUCUUUGACAUCCGCUCAGAAAAGCAGAUUCCCCCCCUGUUUUUGCGGCACUGAUACAUAACUCUGCGACAAUGCAACUGAAACGUACCAUACUGGCUCUUUGCUUCCUUGGCGCAGUAGCUUUGUGUCAAGAUCAGUCAACGAAUAGCCCACAUGUCUCAUCACCUGUGACGGGAGAAACGCCAUCAGAUGUGACAUCAGGUAUGACAGCAGAGAGGCCAACUGCCCCACUUUCUACAAAUGGCCCGACUGAUAAACCCGCCGCUGCCACAACUGGUCAGUCCGCCCUACCUUCAACUGGACAAACUGGAGCCCCAGAAACCAGCGAAACCACCGUGGAUGUGGGAGAGGUUCCACCAGAAGGGCUUUCACCCGGCGCUAUAGCUGGCAUUACCAUCGGUUCUCUGGCUGGGGUGGCUGCAGUUGGUGGUGGGAUCUUUGGCGCGCUGAAGUACACCGGGAGGCUCUGAGA
rnacentral:lncRNA from 1 species